CCAGUCACAAUGGACUCAUUAAAUGACUUCACAAUGAAGAAUUGUAUAGCACUGCACCAGCACAAGAACAGAGUACUCAGAACCGUAAGACUCAUUGCAGGACCCAGACAUGUGGAAGCGACUUGCACAAUGAGGUGGAUGAGCAUGAAAUUACCCUCAG